ensembl:lncRNA
ACACACACACACACACACACACACACACAAUUCCUCCCAGCCAAUGAGCAGCGAGCGCGGAGCGACACAAACGAGACAUGUAUGUAAAUACGUCCACUCCGUGUAAACGGCGCGUUAAAUAGGCGGUUAGUGGGCGAGACCACCAGACGGAGGAUCACCAGAAGCUCCUUCAGUACAUCCUCCAGCAGAGACCAGUCCACUGAGGACAGACCCACAUCCUCCAGCAGAGACCAGUCCACUGAGGACAGACCCACAUCCUCCAGCAGAGACCAGUCCACCGAGGACAGACCCGAAUCCUCCAGCAGAGACCAGUCCACCGAGGACAGACCCGAAUCCUCCAGCAGAGACCAGUCCACCGAGGACAAGACCCACAUCCUCCAGCAGAGACCAGUCCACCGAGGACAGACCCACAUCCUCCAGCAGAGACCAGUCCACCGAGGACAGGCCCGAAUCCUGCAGCAGAGACCAGUCCACCGAGGACAAGACCCACAUCCUCCAGCAGAGACCAGUCCACCGAGGACAGACCCACAUCCUCCAGCAGAGACCAGUCCACCGAGGACAGACCCGAAUCCUCCAGCAGAGACCAGUCCACCGAGGACAGACCCGAAUCCUCCAGCAGAGACCAGUCCACCGAGGACAGACCCGAAUCCUCCAGCAGAGACCAGUCCACCGAGGACAGACCCGAAUCCUGCAGCAGAGACCAGUCCACCGAGGACAAGACCCACAUCCUCCAGCAGAGACCAGUCCACCGAGGGACAGACCCACAUCCGGGCUCCACCGCAGUUCUCGGACCUGCAGUCGGCGCACCCGGACUCUGCUCCCGGUAGCGUCUCCUC